ensembl:lncRNA
CCAAAGACAGAGACAGUAAUCAGAGGGGGAAAAAGCUAGGAAGACAGACAGGGAUUAAAGACAGACAGAGACAUAAGCAAAGAGACAGAGAGAAGAAGGAGAAUGCCUGGGAGUAAAACAGAAAGAAAAAUAUUAAGCCAGCCAAAGCUAUAGGAAGAAAAAAAAAAGAAGCGAUUAAAGCCUGACAGACAGACACAAGGACAGAAAGAAGCCACGGUGAUAGAGAGACAGACGAGCAAGCCGGCGUGAGAAAAGGAGAGGAUCCGAGGAAGAAAGCCUGAGAGAGAUGAGCUGAAGGAGAAUAACUUUAUUUGAAAUAUGGUGACAUGUUUCACUCAAGCUGCCAGACUCCUCAUUACAGGCACCUCCUUUGACGUCAGCUGUCACGGUUCAUCAGGCUGCGCCGGGUUAAGGGCAAAAACAAACAGCUGCCAUCUCUCUCAGCGGGGAGCAGUGCAGGUCUGGAGGACGAGUCAGGGUUUUACCCCAGACGCUGGCAGUUAGCCCUGAAGACCUGCCACUAACGUGGUGGCCGUAAUCCCACCAAAUCCAGCUGUAACCUCAACACCUGACCCAGUGGCACUGAAAGGAAAUGAGUUUCCUGCUACGUGAAGAUUUCAGCAAGACAGAAAGCUUCUCUUAAGACUUUUUUUUUUUUUACUCGUCUGCUCCUUUUUAUCACUCUCUCCCUCUCUCCCAAAGGGCACAGGAGGAUGGAGAUAGCCAAAGGAAUUAUCACAAAUAACAAGAAUGUCCUUGCUCCAUGUCUGCCUGGAGUGUGGAAGAGGCAGCGUUUGGCUCGGCAGAUACAGACAUUAACCGGCUGCCUCGCUCUUAUCCUGCUUGGCCAGACUUGAAAUGCUUUUUUUCCCUUUUUUUUCCCCAAUGUAGUCUUCCUUUUGUGAGACCCUUUCUUCAUUAAGUGCUUCUACUUUCAUUACCAAUGGCACUCUUUCCUCAUCACCUCAUGUUCCUGGUAAGGAGUGCCAAUGACCGCUAAAUGAGAGGACUGUGACAUGCCCUGUCUUUUUGACGGACACGGUAAUGAGAGUGGUAGAAUGCCACCGGAAAGACUGUCUGGUUUCAUCUGUUCGGGUAUUCUACAGUGCCGGCUGCUGGUGAUAUUAGAACUGACGCUAAAAUACAUUAUCUAUCCAUUUUUCUUACAACCUGUAAUUGGUUCCACACAAAAAAAAAAAACCCAGAAAUAAUCUGCUUGUUAAUAAUAAUAAUAAUCUGAUGUGGAUAAAACCUUAUAGAGGUCUUUUCAUCUUUAAAAGAAUUUGCUUGCCCAAUUGUAAG